UCGUCGGUCCCUGGCCGCGCUCCGGCCGAGCCUCUCAGGGAAGUGCAUCCGAUGCACGGCCCGGCGACGGCUGACCGGCCGCUUAGGUCGCGGAAGACCGCCUCCUAUGACCGUGAAAUGGGAAACGCGAAUCGUUUCCAGUGACGAAGUAUCGUGUCGGAUACAUAAACACCGGUAGAAUUAUGCAAUAAAUUGCACGAGAAGUUCUUUGACUGUACAAUCCGAUGUAGAUGUGGAAGAAACGUAAAACGCUGAAAGAGAUCUCUGAGGGACAAGCGGAAGCUUCAGGACUCGUGGUCGAACCGCCUACGUGACUGCGAUAGCUUGAUACAACAAAUGUUUGAUAUUGUUGUAGGGAUCAAAAUUGUACCGAAUAUCAAUAAAAUAUACACAUAUAUGUGUAGGGACAGUUGCGGAUAGCAUAAUAAACGGUGGAGUAAUA